AGUGAACGCUGGCGGUAGGCCUAACACAUGCAAGUCGAACGGCAGCACAGUAAGAGCUUGCUCUUACGGGUGGCGAGUGGCGGACGGGUGAGGAAUACAUCGGAAUCUACUUUUUCGUGGGGGAUAACGUAGGGAAACUUACGCUAAUACCGCAUACGACCUACGGGUGAAAGCAGGGGAUCUUCGGACCUUGCGCGAUUGAAUGAGCCGAUGUCGGAUUAGCUAGUUGGCGGGGUAAAGGCCCACCAAGGCGACGAUCCGUGGCUGGUCUGAGAGGAUGAUCAGCCACACUGGAACUGAGACACGGUCCAGACUCCUACGGGAGGCAGCAGUGGGGAAUAUUGGACAAUGGGCGCAAGCCUGAUCCAGCCAUACCGCGUGGGUGAAGAAGGCCUUCGGGUUGUAAAGCCCUUUUGUUGGGAAAGAAAAGCAGCAGGUUAAUACCCCGCUGUUCUGGCGGUACCCAAAGAAUAAGCACCGGCUAACUUCGUG
rnacentral:rRNA from 1 species